UUAAGUUAUUAAGGGCGCACGGUGGAUGCCUUGGCACUAGAAGCCGAUGAAGGACGUUACUAACGACGAUAUGCUUUGGGGAGCUGUAAGUAAGCUUUGAUCCAGAGAUUUCCGAAUGGGGAAACCCAGCAUGAGUUAUGUCAUGUUAUCGAUAUGUGAAUACAUAGCAUAUCAGAAGGCACACCCGGAGAACUGAAACAUCUUAGUACCCGGAGGAAGAGAAAGAAAAUUCGAUUCCCUUAGUAGCGGCGAGCGAAACGGGAAGAGCCCAAACCAAAAAGCUUGCUUGUUGGGGUUGUAGGACACUCUAUACGGAGUUACAAAGGACGACAUUAGACGAAUCAUCUGGAAAGAUGAAUCAAAGAAGGUAAUAAUCCUGUAGUCGAAAAUGUUGUCUCUCUUGAGUGGAUCCUGAGUACGACGGAGCACGUGAAAUUCCGUCGGAAUCUGGGAGGACCAUCUCCUAAGGCUAAAUACUCUCUAGUGACCGAUAGUGAACCAGUACCGUGAGGGAAAGGUGAAAAGCACCCCGGAAGGAGAGUGAAAUAGAACCUGAAACCGUGUGCUUACAAGUAGUCAGAGCCCGUUAAUGGGUGAUGGCGUGCCUUUUGUAGAAUGAACCGGCGAGUUACGAUUUGAUGCAAGGUUAAGCAGUAAAUGUGGAGCCGUAGCGAAAGCGAGUCUGAAUAGGGCGUUUAGUAUUUGGUCGUAGACCCGAAACCAGGUGAUCUACCCUUGGUCAGGUUGAAGUUCAGGUAACACUGAAUGGAGGACCGAACCGACUUACGUUGAAAAGUGAGCGGAUGAACUGAGGGUAGCGGAGAAAUUCCAAUCGAACCUGGAGAUAGCUGGUUCUCUCCGAAAUAGCUUUAGGGCUAGCCUCAAGUGAUGAUUAUUGGAGGUAGAGCACUGUUUGGACGAGGGGCCCCUCUCGGGUUACCGAAUUCAGACAAACUCCGAAUGCCAAUUAAUUUAACUUGGGAGUCAGAACAUGGGUGAUAAGGUCCGUGUUCGAAAGGGAAACAGCCCAGACCACCAGCUAAGGUCCCAAAAUAUAUGUUAAGUGGAAAAGGAUGUGGCGUUGCCCAGACAACUAGGAUGUUGGCUUAGAAGCAGCCAUCAUUUAAAGAGUGCGUAAUAGCUCACUAGUCGAGUGACACUGCGCCGAAAAUGUACCGGGGCUAAACAUAUUACCGAAGCUGUGGAUUGUCCUUUGGACAAUGGUAGGAGAGCGUUCUAAGGGCGUUGAAGCAUGAUCGUAAGGACAUGUGGAGCGCUUAGAAGUGAGAAUGCCGGUGUGAGUAGCGAAAGACGGGUGAGAAUCCCGUCCACCGAUUGACUAAGGUUUCCAGAGGAAGGCUCGUCCGCUCUGGGUUAGUCGGGUCCUAAGCUGAGGCCGACAGGCGUAGGCGAUGGAUAACAGGUUGAUAUUCCUGUACCACCUAUAAUCGUUUUAAUCGAUGGGGGGACGCAGUAGGAUAGGCGAAGCGUGCGAUUGGAUUGCACGUCUAAGCAGUAAGGCUGAGUAUUAGGCAAAUCCGGUACUCGUUAAGGCUGAGCUGUGAUGGGGAGAAGACAUUGAGUCUUCGAGUCGUUGAUUUCACACUGCCGAGAAAAGCCUCUAGAUAGAAAAUAGGUGCCCGUACCGCAAACCGACACAGGUAGUCAAGAUGAGAAUUCUAAGGUGAGCGAGCGAACUCUCGUUAAGGAACUCGGCAAAAUGACCCCGUAACUUCGGGAGAAGGGGUGCUCUUUAGGGUUAACGCCCAGAAGAGCCGCAGUGAAUAGGCCCAAGCGACUGUUUAUCAAAAACACAGGUCUCUGCUAAACCGUAAGGUGAUGUAUAGGGGCUGACGCCUGCCCGGUGCUGGAAGGUUAAGAGGAGUGGUUAGCUUCUGCGAAGCUACGAAUCGAAGCCCCAGUAAACGGCGGCCGUAACUAUAACGGUCCUAAGGUAGCGAAAUUCCUUGUCGGGUAAGUUCCGACCCGCACGAAAGGCGUAACGAUUUGGGCACUGUCUCAACGAGAGACUCGGUGAAAUCAUAGUACCUGUGAAGAUGCAGGUUACCCGCGACAGGACGGAAAGACCCCGUGGAGCUUUACUGUAGCCUGAUAUUGAAAUUCGGCACAGCUUGUACAGGAUAGGUAGGAGCCUUUGAAACGUGAGCGCUAGCUUACGUGGAGGCGCUGGUGGGAUACUACCCUAGCUGUGUUGGCUUUCUAACCCGCACCACUUAUCGUGGUGGGAGACAGUGUCAAGCGGGCAGUUUGACUGGGGCGGUCGCCUCCUAAAAGGUAACGGAGGCGCUCAAAGGUUCCCUCAGAAUGGUUGGAAAUCAUUCAUAGAGUGUAAAGGCAUAAGGGAGCUUGACUGCGAGACCUGCAAGUCGAGCAGGGUCGAAAGACGGACUUAGUGAUCCGGUGGUUCCGCAUGGAAGGGCCAUCGCUCAACGGAUAAAAGCUACCCCGGGGAUAACAGGCUUAUCUCCCCCAAGAGUUCACAUCGACGGGGAGGUUUGGCACCUCGAUGUCGGCUCAUCGCAUCCUGGGGCUGUAGUCGGUCCCAAGGGUUGGGCUGUUCGCCCAUUAAAGCGGUACGCGAGCUGGGUUCAGAACGUCGUGAGACAGUUCGGUCCCUAUCCGUCGUGGGCGUAGGAAAUUUGAGAGGAGCUGUCCUUAGUACGAGAGGACCGGGAUGGACAUACCUCUGGUGUACCAGUUGUCGUGCCAACGGCAUAGCUGGGUAGCUAUGUGUGGACGGGAUAAGUGCUGAAAGCAUCUAAGCAUGAAGCCCCCCUCAAGAUGAGAUUUCCCAACUUCGGUUAUAAGAUCCCUCAAAGAUGAUGAGGUUAAUAGGUUCGAGGUGGAAGCAUGGUGACAUGUGGAGCUGACGAAUACUAAUCGAUCGAAGACUUAAUCAA
rnacentral:rRNA from 1 species